rnacentral:lncRNA from 1 species
GUAAAAGACGUUUCUCGCAUGUUCCUAUUCUCAUCAGCUCCCAGUUUCUUACCUUGAACAUUCCCUUUACCAGUUGACUUUGAAGCAUUAAAUCAUUUUCACAGAUAUUAUGGAGCACAACCAGUGGCUUGAUGUGCUUUGCGAAAAAUCGAUUGAUCUGCUAUUUAAACCUGUGGAAAAGGAUCGAUAACAGGGUAUUUGCAACUAACACCUUAAUAAUCUAUUCUUCACCAUAGCUUUGAAUAGGAAAAUAUCAAUAAUCGAUCAUUCAUGCCUGGUCACUGAGCACAACAUACGGUGCUACAUCUGCUAAUUGCUCUCAGGUGGAUAUAUAUAUUUUAAAUAAUCUCUUAAAAUUUCAUUCAAACUCAUUGAUUCAGAUUUUUCCUCUCUUAUUCCAACAAUGAAGGAGCCUUUCUCUCUUUUUCUGAUUUAGAAAAAGAGUUUGUUGUCCUGAUAACAGCAAUCAUAUGAUAAUCUAAAUCAAUUUUCUAUGGUAUUUAUCACAUGAAAAUUACUUUGAAGAACACAAUGCUAUUAACAUAUUCAACCUCAACGAUGGUCUAAAUUUGAGUUUCUUCGAAAUUUCAUGUGUAUAAAUAGUGUUAUUUCAUUGCCUUGUGAAGACUUUGAUAAUCUUAUCAUACAACAAACUUUAUCAGUUUUUACAUAGUUCAUACAUAGUUUCAGAGUUUCAUUCCUUUAAGUAUAUCCUCUGCCUCCCAAAAUUUUAGGUUAUGCAUGGUCCGGUGGAGAAGCAAAUUGUUCGUGUAGAUGUGACAGGGGAUCAAGGUAAAACAUGGCAAGUUGCAAACUCAUCGAUGAGGAGGCAGAUGCUCGCCCAUACCGUCAUUGGGGAUGGACUUUAUGGACUGCUGAAAUUCCAGUCUCCUCAGAAUCAAAGCAGGUUGAGCUAUGGGCAAAAGCAGUGGAUUCCAACUACAACACACAGCCUGAAACGUUUGAGAACAUAUGGAAUUUGCGUGGAGUUCUCUCCAAUGCAUAUCAUCGAAUCAAAGUAAAUCUAAAACAUGCGUAAUCAGUUGGUUACUACAUUUUGAGGGAUUAUUCACCUCCUUAUAUUUUUUGGGCAGGAUACUCUAAAUGUACAUACCAUUAUUGCUCAUGAUGCAGGAUACACUAAACACUUUGAAAGAUUAUUAGUACGGGUUAUUUUUCUUAAUGUAUGAUACCAUUGUAAAUUUUUUUAAAACCAUGAUAUUAACGACAAUACUCCUAAACAGGCAGAGAAAAUACGUUUAUACACUAUAAAAAAAUGUUCAUGUUUUUAUCUCAUUUUUACUGUUCUUUAUUCUAAUUUUUUCCGACAUCCUUUUUAUACUUUCAAAAAUUUUGAAGUUUGAAGAAUGUGCAAUACUCUUCCCCUCUUUUCUCUGGUUGUCCUCACCCCUCUCUAUUUUUUAUCUCGUGUCCACCGUCUUGCUUAAAAAACUGCAUGCUAGAAAGAGGCCCAAAUUUUAGAUUAGAAAGGCUGCAUGAUAAAUACUAUGCAUUCCAAACCCUCUUUUAACAAUUCAACAGAAAUAAUGCUCACUCAUCUUUUCUCCCUUUGUUCCUUUUUUCGAUUGUUCCCCUUCUUAACCGUCUUUUUCAUACCCUUAAAACUUUGCGGACAUUUAUUUUGUAGUGCCUAACCGUUUUCCUCUUUUUCGUAGUUGUCUUUGCUCCUCUCUGUUUCCUAUCUAUUGUUCUCCGCCUUACUCAACAAACUUUGAAUUAGAAAGAGGUCUCAAAUUGUAGACUAGCAGCACUGCGUGAUUCAAUGCUGCGCAUCCUUUUACAUUUUUUUGUUUAAUGUAACAGGAAAAAUGCUGAUUCCUCCACUCUUUUGUUGCUAAAAUUUUCAGUUUAAUGUGUGAAAAAAAUAGGCAUUUACACACUGAAGAGUAGUGUAUUGAUUGAAGUCGAAUUCUAUGAAGUGCCAUGAUUUUAUAAAUGAUGUAUAAAUUUAUAAUUGUUAAUUAUAUUUUGUUGACAUUUUGUACCUUAUUCUAUUCUCUGUUUAUACCUAUAAUUAUUUUGUUGGGGCAAAAAUUAAAUGCUUUUGUGUUCUACCCCUGUUAGGUAAUUAACAUAAUAAUCAGUGUACCUAUUGUCUCUCUAUGUUAAUUUGCUUUAGCGAAAUUUUAAGAUUAAAUUUAAGAACGCGGUCAUCACAAUCAUUGUACCGUAUUAGUUGUCGAAAUUUAUUGCCAUUGUGAACGUUCGGCUCUGUUGAAGGGUUUAACUUCACCAAAAAGAAGCUUAAUAAUAAUGCCUAACGAUGGCAGUGGCAUGAUUACAAAAAUAUAAUUAUUUUGUUACUCAAGUAUUCAAAAAAAUUCCUUGUCCAUCUCUAACUUACCUAAUCUCCUAAGAAUUUCGAAACUAACAAUAAGUUCCGGAAAGCGUUAUGAGGUAAAAAAGUGUCUUAUUUUAGCACUGGUCAGUCCCUCCUUAAAAUUAAAAUUUAGGUACUGGAAAAUCUGCAAAGUUCCUGAUUGAUGAAGCAGAAAAGAAACAUCCACAAGUAGGCUUUGCAUCGAAGCUCCUCUAUUGUUGCAUUCAUGAAAUAAAAUCUAUCAGUUAAUUUUUUUGAAAGUACCUAUUUCAGAAUACUGUUAUAAGACUCAGCCAGGAGGCUCGAAGAGGUCACAUUUGUCUGACUUUGCCACUGCUGAAAAAAUUUUGAAAUAAA